AAAAUGACUCUCGGCAACGGAUAUCUCGGCCCUUGCAUCGAUGAAGAACGUAGCGAAAUGCGAUACUUGGUGUGAAUUGCAGAAUCCCGUGAACCAUCGAGUCCUUGAACGCAAGUUGCGCCCGAAGCCAUUAGGCCGAGGGCACGCCUGCCUGGGUGUCGCA
rnacentral:rRNA from 1 species